GAUCGAACGCUAAUUCGCACACAUCGAUUCCCCAAGCUCUAUAUCUGCCAACUCUGGGCUCUGACAUCAGUUUUUUUUGACCUGACAACGCUGGUCAGUUGCUAUUGGCAGUAUUGGCUGCCCUGCUGCUUGCUGACAUUGUUAUAAGCUUGAUUGCUGACAUUGUUAUCUUAUUCCCAAGUAUUCCAGAAGGAAAUGAAAUAUCCCAAUCUAUAGGAAAAACUGCCAUAAAUCAUUAAAUUGAAUAUAAAUUUUCUGAUAUGUACAUACAUAUAUUUGAAAUAAUUUUUGGGAGGCGCUCUAUUAUCUGAUAUACUCAAUUUGUCAUUAAUAAACCUUAAAUACUAUACCAUGACAAGUGAAAUAAACCUACCUCACUCAUGUGAGCCCCCAUUUGAACAAAUCACUAUUAAGAAAGAACCAGAUUUUACUUCAGGAUCCAGUGCAUCACUGUUGUCAAUACAUAGCCCCAUAUUGCAAAGUAAUACUCCUAAUAUCUGUCUGUAUAACAAUCAAAUAGACAUAGAAGGCAUGAUCAUCGAAGAGGAAUUUAUUAAAACUGAGCCUCUUGAACUCAAACCCAACCUCAAUACUUCGGACUGUAAUCCACUGUUAGAUGUGAAACUGCCAAUAGUUAAAGAUAAUGAUAUAGAUGAAAUUGAGAUUAAAAAGCGACAAAUAAUAGAAAAUGAAACUACAGUGUACAAAUGUAAAUUUUGUGAUGGAGUAUUUCAGAAGUUUGCAGAUUAUAAAGUGCAUAGAAUGGAACACUCAGUUGAGAGAAGGACUUGCAAAAUUUGUAAUUUGUUGUGCCAAGGCAUUACCAAGUUAAAAGAUCACAUGAAUAUGCACACAGGGAAAAGGCCUUUUAAAUGCACAAAAUGCAAGAAAGGUUUUACAUCAGCACAUGUGCUAAAAGGGCAUAUGGAGUGCCAUUUAAAAGAAUAUAAAUUUAAGUGUGACAAAUGUGGAAAAUCUUUCAAGACUGCUAAAUCUCUUAGGGGACAUAAGGAUACACAUGCUGAAAAAGUUAAAGAUUACAUUUGUAAGUUGUGCAAGGAAGAAUUUAAAACAGUAAGAGAACUUACAGGGCAUCUUAAAGUACAUGGAGCCAAACCUCCUGAGCCAAAAUGUUAUAUUUGCAGUAAGGUUUUAUCGACAGAGGCGGCUUUAAAAUCCCACCUUUCCACUCAUGUUGAUCUUAAGUUCCCAUGCCAGUAUUGUGAUAAAAUUUUCAGCACUAGUACCAAAGCACGAAAACAUGUUAAUAGAACCCAUAUUAAAAACGUAUGUGAAUUAUGUGAAAUGGUUUUUUAUGAUAAGGCAGAAUUUGCUAGACAUAAGAAGAGUGAACAUACGGAAGUUUUUCAGGUCACCAUUUUCAAUAGAUGGCUUCUGCCAAGGUUUAUUCAUUGAUCUUGUAAGAAAAACCUAUUGUGUGUGAAAUUUGCAAAAAAGUUUAUGACAAACUGAAAAACCUUAAAGAACACAUACGAAUCCAGCACACGGAAGACGGCCGCGAAAACAAAUGCGAGUGGUGCGAGAAAACGUUUAUCAAUCGAUUUUUAUUGAACAAUCAUUUGAAAAGCCAUUCCAAGGACUUCAGAUGCCCCAGCUGCAAUAUGACUUUUUCUUCAAGAUACAACUUGCAACUUCACUCAGUAACUCACACCAACGAGCGCAGAUUCAAAUGCACUUUGUGUGAAAAAAGUUACACAUCGAAAGCAGGUUUACAGACCCAUACGUCAACGCAUUUCGAUGAUAAACCUUUUGAGUGUGGCCAGUGCGGAAAAAGAUUUAAAAAUAGCAGGCGGCUAUACGUGCACAAAGUAGCUCAUGAGACCGAAUUGAAGUUCGAAUGUUACGAUUGCGGGAACAAAUUUAAAUCCAAACAGUAUUUGAGGGCUCACAUGUAUAAACACCAAAAAGUGAAGCCAUAUGACUGUCCACACUGUCAUAAGAAGUUCAAACAUAAAAAAACACAAGAGAAACACGUUUUAAAUAAACAUAUUAAAAAAGGAUCCUUCAAAAAGAAGAUAAAGAAAGAUAUAUUGGAUGACACAGACUUUGAUACUGAGAAUGAAAGCGACUCGGGCGACGAAAAUUCUUUUGAUAAGGAAAGGCAAUUUAAUAACACUGAAGAUGAGGAAUCUGGCCAGAGUGGGACAGGAAUAACCAAAUCUUCAGACGAGAUUUGUGCUUCAAACUUUGUUCAAGUGAAAGUUGAGGCUAAUGAUGAAUAAACGAAUAAUUUUAACUAUAGAUUAGUUAGUUGUAAGGUUUGAUUUUUUAUUUUGUAGUGUCAUUAUUUAGAAGUUUAAUAUUUAAAUAUUUCGUGAAUUGGUUUGCUUUUUAAUUGAAUAAAAAAAGAUUUUAUCCA
rnacentral:misc_RNA from 1 species